rnacentral:rRNA from 1 species
UACGGGGGGGGCAAGCGUUGUUCGGAAUUACUGGGCGUAAAGGGCGCGUAGGCGGCCUUCUAAGUCGGACGUGAAAUCCCUCGGCUUAACCGAGGAACUGCGUCCGAUACUGAAAGGCUUGAAUCCGGGAGAGGGAUGUGGAAUUCCAGGUGUAGCGGUGAAAUGCGUAGAUAUCUGGAGAAACACCGGUGGCGAAGGCGGCAUCCUGGACCGGUAUUGACGCUGAGGCGCGAAAGCUAGGGGAGCAAACGGG